rnacentral:lncRNA from 1 species
AGGAAUUCUCCUGCCUCAUCCUCCACGUAGCUGGGAUUACAGAUAAACUCAGAUCCCUCUACUUUCCAAGUGUGAGAAGAUUUUGUUCUACAGUCGCUUCUGUGAGAUCACCACAGCCCUGGCAAACCAAGAGGGAGGAACCUUGUGCCUUUGAAGUGUGAUUCACAGUGCUUGAUAAAGUGCCAGUAUUCUCUAAAUUUUAGGUUCACAGCAAAUUGGAUGGAAGUUACAGAAAUUCUUCUAUUUUUAAUUUUAAACUAACAUACGACAAAAGGAUUUCCUGAUUUAUCCACCAUUUCAAAAAAAGGUCCGAAGAAAAUGAAGGAGCCUCUUCCUGUACUCAUGGUACAUAAGGUAACAGAAACCACAGAAAUCAAAACCGUGGAUAAGAGGAGACUACAGAAAGAUUUCUCCUUCUGGAGUACAUGAAUCAAAUUGCAUUGAAUCAAAAGUUUUGUGAAGAUUUGAGAUGAGAAUGAGAGCCAAAUAAGCCAUAUCAUAAGAAGCUGUGAUCAGAAAUAAAAUGAGGACAAUGCUUACUGUGGCUUUCAAGGCAGGAGAAAGCACACCCGAGGGGGUCGUGUCCCACACUAGGCAGAUCUAAUGGUGCCACAAAAGACAGGUGUUUUGUCAGAUUUCAGCCACACACUUUCACACCUGCAACGCAUUAACUACCGCAGCAAUGUUAAUGAAGACCAGGUGCCUGUUCUCCAGCAUAAAUGAGGAACUGGCAGGAGAUUUGCUGUUUGCUACCUGACGUCUACCCCUGAGUCUCUGAACCCCGUCCUUCUGGUUGAAGGGGAAGGUGUAGUGAUGUACAAAAAAUGAUUCCUGUUGGACAUUCAACACGAUACUCCAAUGUACUUUGAACACGUCAUGUUCUGUGAAGGUAAAAAUGGGCAGUGACUGCUGUCUCUGUGUACUUCGGAACAUUUCUUUCUGAGCCUAUAAAGUGUUUGGCUGGCAUGCAGGGGCCUGAGGAAGCUUAAGGAGAAACCUCGUCCCAUGACACAUAAUCCUACCACACCCUGAAAUGGAUAGAUGGUUGGGUCAUGCCAGUGUGCACACACAGACUGGUAAGUGGAAGAUUAGCCAGAAUUGUGAAAGAUGCUACCAUACAGCCACCCAGUUCUGCCAAAGGAGAAGGUCACUUGCCAACGGCAAAUGUAAAUGGCCAUGAAUAUCCUGUUCUCUUUCUGUCAAAGUUGGUUCUGAGCACUGAGGGGAGAGACAGAAUUAAAAGUAGACACAGCAGCGAGUAAAGCUAUCUCUGUCUAAUGGAGUGUCUGUAUUUUUGGGUACAUGAUUUUUCUAUACCUGAGAUGAAUAAUUCAUUCUCAAGGAACCCCAAAGCAAAAGUUUAAAGAUGAUUAAAAAAUAACUUUGGCUUCUGAUCUUCUGAUAACUGGGAACUCUGUGAUAGAGACAUAGAAAACUAUUAGGAAUUAAAACCAAAACAAGACCGGGCUUUAGGGAUUCCCCUCACACUAUUAUACUGUCAUGGAAGGCUCAGGAUAACCAGGCUAGCCGUACAUAAAGUAAUUAAUAAAGUAGGUCAAUUACAAAGCUAGAAGAGUUUUAUUUAGCGUGAUAUUGAUCACAUCUUGAAUCAUCUCCCUGAAUCUCCGUAUUUUUCUUUUUUAUUAAAAACAGAAUAGCGUUCUUGAAGAAUUGUUUUAUCUACACUUCUGUAAUUGUUCUCUAAACAGAGAAUUGUUUAGAAGGACCAGUUCCCUAGCAAUAUAUGACCUUUCUAACUAUACUUCAUGUCAUCUCAUGCAGGCCCUAUCUUCUGUAAAAUUAGGCCUCCAUUGUGUUUCUCACUCAAGAUUCUUCUUUAUUAUUUCCCAGAUUCUCUGGAUGGAGCAUUUUCUUUAUAAACAACAUAUUUGUGCUCAUCUGUUGUGGAUGCUCUUGGUGCCCCAUCCAGACCUCCUUUACCAGGCUGAUGCACGAACACUCUAGCUUCUAAGAAUGUUCACUGUUAGCUUAUAGAUUCUCCUUUUCUACAGAGUCACCCUUGGCUAAGUAGGAGCCACUAUAUCCUUUAGUAUACAUUACCAGCUUAUAGCCAUUGAUUAAGGGAAGACAAAAGUCAGCCCUUGUCUCAAGGUAGGGCCAAUUCUGAAGUGAAAUUCAUGCUCCAGAGCUCCCUGUGGGGCCAGGCUACAGUUAGUUUCUAGCUGGGCCACAUGCAUGCUUAGCUUGUUUUGCCUUAUCCUGCUGCCCUCACUUCUCUUCCCCUGAGAACACUAACACAAGAGUCCCUGUCCAGGCCCUGCUUCAAGGGAACCUGCCAAUCAUCAUGACUGUGAACAUUUAGGGCAGGUGGGUAGGAGUCUGAGAGUGGUAAUGGGAUUGGAGGGGGUUUAGCACAUAAUUUACCCUAAUAAGUGUUUGCUAAAUGAGUGGAUUUUCCAGGCUUGAUGCUUGGAUUAAAAGUAGCACAGCUGUCUUCAAAAGAUCUAUUUCUCAAGCAGGGCUGGGCUCCCUGAUUCACUCCUGGAUUGGAAACAAAAUAAGUGGGAAAAUUUCAUAAGGCUUAUUGUCGAAUAGAAAGACAUUGAUGAUUGUUAAUGAUGUUAAUUAAUCAACAGGGAUUAUUAAGUGCCAGCUUUUCCCAGCAUGUGACUAAACACCCAGGUCUGUGGUAACUGUGAUGAAGAAAAUAACCUCUUUUAUCUUAUAAAAAAAAAAUCUUAUCUUCAUGUGGAGAUAAAACUUACUCAAAUGAAACAAUGAAAAUAUAAGACUGUGUUCACAUGACAAAAUGUACUUCAUAGGUAAUAAGUUCCAAAGGAAAUUCAGAGAAGUAAGAAAUCAAUGUGGGCGUUUGUGAGUUAGGCAAGUCUUGGAGGAAUAGGUGUGUGUGGGAGGGACAGGAGAGAAGACAUUCCAAGUGGGAGAAGAGGUAAGAAGAAAGGUGUGGAGACAGUAAUGAGGAUACUACUAUUUGCCAGGAGAUAUAACAUGAGAAAAUAAGUUCCCCCUGAGUUCACUUCCUUUUUAUAUUUCCAUCCCAUUAUCCUAUUUCCAUUUAUUCUUCAUUCAUUUAUUAAUUCAGUAAUCAAAUAUUCUUUGAGACCUACACUGUUCCAAGAACUGCAUUAUGUCUUAGGGAUAUGGGAAUGAAAAGAAUACCCAUCAUUGUUCUCAAGGAACUGACAGUCUCCAGAGAGAUAAAAUUAGCAAACAGACAAUUACAAUACAGGGUUGUCAUGGUACUUUAAGAGUAAGCAUAGGGUGCUAGGAGAGAACAAAGGAGAGGCAUGGAAGCCAGACUUGGGGGAAGGUCCAAAAAGGCUUCCUGAAGAAGUGACAUCUUAUUGGAGACAUAAAGAGUGGGUAGAAUUUAGCCAGGUGAAGGAGAGUGCAAGAAAAUAAUUGUGGGGAUGCAUGGUGCUUUGAGGAAAGUGAGGGGUGCAGUAUCACUGAUGUGUGUGGAGGACAGAAAGACCAAGGGUGGACAAUAAACGGGCCAGAUCAGGGACCACCCUGUAAUUAAAGGAGUAUGGACUGCAUCUUUAGGGCCAUGAUAACCAUUAGUUGACUAAAGUAUUAAAAUUACUUGAUCGGAUUAUUUCUGAAACAUUACUUUAGUUGGAGUAGUUUGAAUAGGUUGGUCUCGACCAAACUGGAUGCUGAUAGACAUGCUAAGAAGCUUUGUUAUGCACAUGGCAAAUGAUGGUGGGAAUGGAGAGAAGUGAAGGUAAAGUGACAUAAAUUGGAGUUUCAUUGGUUUUGGGAGAAGAGAAUAAAAAAGUCGAGAAUAAUACUGAAGAAUUUACAUUAAGCAACUAGGGUGGGGAGUAAUGGUAUCUUCAUCAAGUUAGGGAGCAUGAGAGGAAGAGUGAGAUUGGGGAACAGAUGAUUACUCAGUUUUUGACGUGAUAGUUUUGAGAAUCCUGGGGAUAAUCAAGCAGAGAUGUUGAAUAGGUGGGUCUGGAAGUUAGAAGACACUUUUGGGGUGGCAAUAUAGAUUUGGGGUUUCUACUAAUAAACCACUCACUUUACUUCCAUCCUAUUUUGUUUAGUGGUACCAACACCCUCUUAUUUGCUCAGGUUAGAAACUCAUAUUUCCCUAAGGGGUCCAUGGAUGGGCUUCAUAGGAUUCUUGAACCUCCUUGAAAUUGCAUGCACAAUUUUGGGUAUAAGUGAAUAAGUGCCUUUUUCUAGUACCAUGAGAUGUAGAAUUUUAUGGAAUUUGCAAAAGGUUACUUGACUUCCCUCUUGUCCCCCCAAAACAAAGAGAAUCCAAAGUGACUUGGGGUCUUUGUCUCUUUUCCUCUCUUCUUUAUAUUUACUCAUGCGUCGUGUUCUUCAGUCUUAUCUUUGAAGUCAUAUUUAUAUCCCUUAUCUUUCCUCAUUGCUAGCCUCCUAGUUCAGAUCCUUACUGCUUGUAACUUUAAGAACUUACAUUGGAAUCCCUCAACUUUCUAAUACAUGUAACUGCAUAUUUUUUUUCUCCAAACUGCUACCAACUAUAUUAGUUGAGUUCCCACCUUUAUGGGCAGCAAGAAAAUUUAACUUUGUCAGCCCCUCCUGGUAAUCAUCAGCUUAGUUUACUGAUUUUUUGCAAUCCAGUUAUUAAAAUCUCAGACUCUAUUCAAAACAUCUUAUCUUUAAUUAAAUUAGAUAUGACUAGGCUGCUAGAAGCUGAUUGAGGAGGAGUAGAGUGUAAUUGGUUCUUUACCUCUUUUCUUCUGAUCUCAGGCAACUGUUCUGCUGAUGGGGGUAUCAGAGAGGUCAGGGUGACUGAAAAGAAUUCACUCAUGUGAUUGCCAGCAUGUUGAAGAUGGCAAGCUGGCAAUCUUUUCUUUAAAGUCAGCCAAUACCUGGUCUAAUUUCUGGGUGGUGGUAACCAGCCUCCAGUUACACAGCAUUACAUCUUAGGUGGUCUUUGAUGCCCAGCCAGCAGUCUUAUGGAGGUAGAACAGCUUCCUUCUCUCCCUCCUGGUGGGUGGCUCUCAGUAUCCUCCUCACAUCAACCCAUCAUUCAUCAAUAUGGCCCACCCAUAGUGGUGCCCACCCCUUAUUUGGUGACCUGGGCUAGGUCCACAGAAAACUUGGGAUCAUUGGUACACCUGCCUCAAUUUGUAUGAGACUGUGAGGGGGUAGCAACCUUAAUGUACUAGGACUUACUCAUUUACUCUCUCUUAGGAUUCAACACCCAAAAUAUUCUAUGCAUUUUCUUGGGACUGUUAACUUUCAGGUGCAGCAAAGGUUCAUAACAAUCUUCACUUCCUAAUGAUGCUUUCAGAUUUCAUGAGUGAUUCUCCAGGGAACAUCUGGCUUGGUUGGGCACAGAUAAAUAGCCAAACUGCUUCCCUCUCAGCCCCGUUCCACAUGGAGAGAAGUAAAUACUGAUUCACAAACUCACCUCUUCCCAAAAGAUGACUCCUCUUCCCCUCUCUGUUUCCUUCAGGGGGGCUGCUCUACUGAUUCUUCUGAAAGGUCACCUUGUUAGCAGGUCCCCAGUCAGGGAUGUAUGGCCUUGUUGUUUUUCAGCUUUGAGGUGCCUCUACUUGGUAACUCCCUAGGAAGGAGUCUCAGUAUGUAUCACAACUUCAUGUUACCAUCUUUUAACUGGUAACCAUGAUACAAUUUCUUGUCUCUCUCACAUAUUUUUCCUAAAUGUUUUAACUUCGAUGACUCCCCAAGGUUGAGACAAAUACCUUCAGACUGGCCUCCACAGUCCUUUAAAAUUGUGGCCUCCAAGUACCUUUGCAAUCUCAAUUCUUACCAUAAGCUCUUUGAAUAAUAUGGGCAAUAAUCAAACAGAUCCUGCCCUAUCAAUGUUCCAUGAUGUUGGUCAUGCCUUUCCCUUUGCCUGCAACAUCCCUUCUUUAAUUUUUAUUGAAAAUUCUUCUAUUCAUUGUUUAGGUCAACCUCCCAUGUCAUCUCCAUAAUGUCUUACCAUUCUUUCAACAGGAAUCAAUCCUGUCUAUGCCAUUUGCAGCAUGCUUUUACUUGUCUGAUUCUUUGACAUCAUAAGAAACAGUGAAGUGGCCUAGCCAGGUGCCUUAAACAUAGCAAAUGUUCAACAGUUCAGUCAGACUGAAAUGACAGGGGAAGUGCAGUCAGAUCAUGUGAGGAGUCUUAAAUGACUAAAUGACCUUGGAUACUAUUUCAGUUGAUUUCUAUUAAAGACUUGGGAAAGCCAACUUUCACUGAUUUUUGCAAUUUAUAGAAAUGCUCCCAUUGCAAUAGCUUGUGAGCAUAUUGCCAAAAAACUAUAACAAAAAAUUCAACUCACGAAUUGUGCCUGUCUUCCUGAUAGGGUGCUCUAUGCUUGUUAGUAUCUAGAGGACAAAUGAAAACCAUGUGCUCUGGAUCUAAAACACAAUCAACAAGUGGGGACAUGGAAUCUAAAAGAAGAUCAAG